rnacentral:rRNA from 1 species
AUUGAACGCUGGCGGCAUGCCUAACACAUGCAAGUCGAGCGGAUGAAGGGAGCUUGCUCCUGGAUUCAGCGGCGGACGGGUGAGUGAUGCCUAGGAAUCUGCCGGGUAGUGGUGUAUAACGUCCUGAAACGGGCGCUAAUACCACCUACUUCCUGCGGGAGCAGGAUGGUGAGCUUCGGACCGCACCCGAGCCUAGGAGCCUAGGUCGGAUUAGCUAGUUGGUGGGGUAAAUGCCUACCAAGGCGACGAUCCGUAACUGGUCUGAGAGGAUGAGCAGUCACACUGGAACUGAGACACGCUCCAGAGUCCUAAGGGAGGCAGCAGUGGGGAAUAUUGGACAAUGGGCGAAAGUCUGAUCCAGCCAUGGCGAGUGUGUGAAGAAGGUCUUCGGAUUGUAAAGAACUUUAAGUUGGGAGGAAGGGCAGUAAGUUAAUACCUUGCUGUUUUGACGUUAACAACAGAAUAAGCACCGGCUAACUUCGUG